UGAACUGAAGAUUAUUCACUGAUAGAUUACCUAAUUCUUGCAAUACUUGGUGCUUUUAUAAAUAGACCCAGAGAGAUC
rnacentral:lncRNA from 1 species